AAGGACUGUGCUCCCAAUCCGCUUAUGCUCAAGGAAGAACUGGAAGGCCCAGAACCAGCCUGAUGUCAGGAUCAGAACAAAAGAGGAGGACUGCAUAUGUAUGGACCCACUCCAGAUGGCACGGGGACGGGGGGGAGUAGGAAAAGUGGCAUGAGACCAGGCCCACAGAGUAUGGCUGUGCAAGUUGUUUACUGUACGAGGGCACCUGGCCGGGGUCUUACCUUGAAUGGGGGAGAAGAGCUUGAAGAUGAGGGGACAGGCCAAGACAACUACCUGGCCCCGAGGGGUGGCUGGCCAGCAGAUGAGGGAAUGGAGGCACAGACUGAUUAGAAAACCAGCUCAAGGUCAUGUUGCUGCUCUCUCAUUCCUGUUGAGGGCUCUCUGGUGGAGCCUGUCUCACAGGCCACCUGCAGGCCAACACUCCCAGAAGCAGCUAGCACCAUGGUUGACCUCGUCCAGGUCCAGGGAAGGCCUCCCUCUCCAGGACUCCUUUAGAUUUCCCCAGCAUCCAGACCUCACCUGCCAAAGUGCCGUAGCCCUGGAAGCCACACAGUGAGCACGAGCUCCAUCUUGCACCUUUACCAGCCGAUGAGGGUAAAGACAUUAGCUGAAAUACUUCUAAGGGGCCAGGCGUGGUGACUCACGCUUGUAAUUCCAAGCACUUUGGCAGGCUGAGGCAGGUGGAUCACCUGAAGCCAGGAGUUCAAGAGCAGCCUGGCCAACAUGGCAAAACCCUGUCUAUACUAAAAAUACAAAAAUUA
rnacentral:antisense_RNA from 1 species